UACGUAGGGGGCAAGCGUUGUCCGGAUUUAUUGGGCGUAAAGCGCGUGUAGGCGGCCACACAGGUCCGUUGUGAAAACUCGAGGCUUAACCUCGAGACGUCGAUGGAAACCGUAUGGCUAGAGUCCGGAAGAGGAGAGUGGAACUCCUGGUGUAGCGGUGAAAUGCGCAGAUAUCAGGAAGAACACCCGUGGCGAAGGCGGCUCUCUGGGACGGUACUGACGCUGAGACGCGAAAGCGUGGGGAGCGAACAGG
rnacentral:rRNA from 1 species